CAGGACGCGUACUGCAUCUUCGACAGCCAGGUGCUCAACGCCUUCGUCUCCUCCUUCUACCUCUCCACCAUGGUCGCCAGCCUUGUCGCCGGCCACCUAACCAAGACGCUGGGGAGGAGGAACUCGCUGCUGAUCGCCGGCGUGCUCUUCUUCGCCGGCACCCUCCUCAACCUGGCCGCCGUGAACAUCAGCAUGCUCAUCAUCGGCCGCAUCCUCCUCGGCGUCGCCGUCGGCUUCAGUAGCUUGGUGAUCGAUCGCUACCAGCCAAUUAAUACAUUCGUGCAUACAUACAUUUAUUUAUUUGUAGGUUAAUUUUAUCAUCCUUAAAAUAUCUCGGGAGGUAGCAUAUUUUUUAUUGUAAAAUUUGAUACCUCUAAGUAAAGUAUCUCGAGAUACUAAAAAUUUUAAUUUAUAAUUUAGGUAUCUCUCGAACUAAUUUUUUAAGUAAAGUAAAUUUUUUCUUAUUUGUAGGACGUGAAGUUUUCAUGCGUUCAUUGCAUGUGUUUGCAUUGUUGCUUUGGUCGCAGGCUGCACCGGUGUACCUAGCGGAGAUAGCGCCGGCGCGGUGGCGCGGCGCGUUCACGGCCUCCAUAGGCCUCUUCGGCAACUUGGGUUUCUUGAUGGCUGACAUGAUCAACUACCGCGCCACUACCAUGGCGAGGUGGGGUUGGCGCCUCUCUCUCGGCGCCGGCAUCGUCCCGGCCGUCAUCGUCAUCGUGGGCGCCGCGUUCAUCCCGGACACGCCCAACAGCCUCGCGCUGCGCGGGAGGCUCGACGAGGCCCGAGACUCGCUGCGGCGCAUCCGCGGGGCCGCCGAUGUGGACGCCGAGCUCAAGGACAUCGUCCGCGCUGCCGAGGAGGACCGGAGGUACAAGUCGGGCGCGCUGCGGCGGCUUCUCCGUCGCGAGUACCGGCCGCACCUGGUGAUGGCCGUGCUAAUCAUGGUGUUCUUCGAGAUGACGGGAGCCAUCGUGGUGGCCAUCUUCACGCCGCUCCUCUUCUACACCGUCGGGUUCACGAGCCAGAAGGCCAUCCUCGGGUCCAUCAUCACCGACGUCGUCAGCAUCGUCUCCGUCGCUGCCGCCGCGGCCGUGGUCGACCGCCACGGGCGGCGUAGACUCUUCAUGGUGGGCGGUGCCGUACUGAUCCUGUGCCAGGUGGCCAUGGCGUGGAUCUUCGGCGCGCAGCUGGGCGCUGACGGUGGGAGGGCGAUGCCGCGGGGGUACGCCGUCGCGGUGGUGGCGCUCGUGUGCACGUACACGGCGGGGCUAAGCGUGUCGUGGGGCUCGCUGUCGUCGGUGGUCACCAGCGAGAUCUUCCCGCUGGAGGUGAGGUCGGCGGCGCUGGGGCUGGGCGGCACCAUCUCGUCGGCGCUCACGUUCAUGCAGUCGCAGUCAUUCUUGGAGAUGCUGUGCAGCUUCAAGUACGGCGCCUUCGCCUACUACGCCGGAUGGUUGGUGAUGAUGACGGCGUUCGUGGCGGCGUUCCUGCCGGAGACGAAGGGGGUGCCGAUCGAGUCCAUGGGCGCGGUGUGGGCGCAGCAUUGGUACUGGAAGCGCUUUGUCAAGCUGGCACCGGCCAAGCAGGCCGAUGGGCCAGAAUGAUGAAAAGUAUUUUCUACACCUAGAUGUGUAUGCACAUAGUUUAAACCAUAAGCGUUACAAGCAUGUUUGUCCGAAACGUAGUGGUUAUCCGAAACCAUAAGCGUUACAAGCAUAUUUAACGUUAAUUUGGAUCUGUAAAUGUAGGAAUAAGUUCAUUUUACGUCCCUCAUUGUGAUGUUGACUUUGAAAUUCGGUCUCUCAGUAUGCCAAACCGGUGUACCCAAGGUUCCAGGGAAGUAUAGUGCUCGAUUUCGGCUAACGUGGUGCCUGGGUUAGUGUGAGACCCACAUGUCUAGGCGAUUCGGUCUAAAUAAAAAAAUGGUAGACCCCACAUAUCAGUGAAAUAUUCUCUCCUCCCUCUCUCUCUCUUUGUUUGCCUCUACCUUUUUCUCAGCGGCGUCAUGGCCGUCAACUCCCCACCACGCUAGCCAUGAUGUUCCUCUCAGCACUGUCGCCGAUGCAAGCCCACCCUCAACCCGUGCUCUCCCCCUCUUCCUCCUCUUAGGAGGUCUUGUAUUUAUACCCUUGGGUGCUCACUUAUCUAAGUAAAAUUAAGGAUGCAAGUAUGGAUACGAUCCGAAUAGUAUUUAUAGUGUCUGAGUAUAGAACUUCGCUUCUCCUUUCUUAUCCGAAACACCUUUCAUAUAUAAGGCAUUAUUCCGUAUAAGACUUGGCAUAUGGUGAGUCCGCGGAACCUAAAAGUAAUAUGUAUGUCUUAUCUAUAACACUGAAACUUUUAUGGAAAAAUAAUAAUCUCUAUAUAUGGUUUACCUCAAAUAAAAAAAACAUGUAUUUACUUGCGGCUCUACACUUUAUCUAUGAAGAUAUUUCUUUUAACACACAUAUAUGUAUUUUUUUCUAGCUUAUUUACUUCUACCAUUUAAGUAAAUUACUUUUAUAUAUUUAAAUAUAUUUAAUAUUAUACUCAUUUCAUUAUAUAUUUGAGUGGAAUUUAAUGGUUAAAACAGAUCUUACAACUACUACAUUGUUUGAAAUAUAUAAUUCAAUAAAUAUUAAAAAUAGACUAACUCAUAUGAGACUCUCAGGCCAAAAGCAUGGAGAUAUAUAAUUUUUAAAGUACGCAUGCAUACACGUGAUCGAAUGGAUCACAUGAUGGUUUUAAUCGAAUGGAUCGGUAGGUAUCAUGCUGUAAGACUAAUCUAUGCGUGCGCACGGAUUAGAUUUUACGAUUAUACUAUGGCUCUUAAAGUCAUAAUUGCUAUAAAUUGAGGUUGCUCCACCCUAUCAAUAUCACUAUUGGUUUUGUGCAUGAAUUAAUUACAAUCUUCCAUUGGAUGAAAGUGAGAGAAAGAAAAAUCCUAUCGUUGUGUCUGUUUGGACCACAAGCGUAUGACGAUUUUUUUUUGUAGGAGAACUGGAAAACCAAGUGUGCCGUACUCUAUAAAUAGUCUUUGAUCAGUGUGGCGCAUCGUUUAUCAUCCAAAGAUACAACGACCGUGUCUUCUCGAGCUCUCUCCCUGACAGAAGUAGCUAGCUAGGUAUGGCUGGAGGUGGAUCGAUUGCCAACGAUGGUGAAGCAGCCGCCGGCGGCAACGGCGGCGGUGACGAGGUGACAUUUACAGUUGUUAUGAGCUGCCUCACGGCGGGCGCCGUCGGGCUCUUACUUGGGUACGACAUCGGUGUUACAGGUCAGUGGCUAGUAAACUGAAAAUCUGAAUAUGCCUUCAGAGCUUUUGACUCUGCAUGUUUAAUUCCCGUACAUGGCACGGUUUAUGCUUCUCUGUUUCUUUCUUCUCUUAAGGUUACAGAAGAUUUAUCUUUAUUACCGUAGGGCUUUCAAAAAAAUAUCUUAAUUACCGUAUGUUUAUGAUCCAUUUAUUACUCGGAUUAAAGUAAGAAAAGCAAUACAUAGUUUGUUCUGAAAGUUCAGGGAUUCUGCACAUUUUCUACUCAGGAGAUCUGGUUAUCAGCAAAGGAAAUAACAAGAGUGUACCACGCAGCUAGAGUUUCAAAGCAGUUGCUUUUCAUCAUAAUAUACUCUUUUUUUUCUAAAAUCUAGCAAUCUAGAUAUAUCCAGAUUUCUAGUAGUAUGAUGUGUUAAAUUCGGUUUUGUAUUGCUAUAUUUUAGGACAGAUGAAUGGAGAGUAGUAAGGUUAUGCACAUAGUGAUUAUGCAUAAAAUCCCGUGCAUAAAUUAGGCAUAUGCUCUUAUAUUAAUGUAAAUAUAUAACAUGGACUCUUUAUAAUGUUUGUUUAGUUGUUUUUAUUUUGAAUUUCAGUUAUUUUCUAUAUUGUAUUUUACUUCAACCGUCACUAUAUGAACACACAGCUCAAUUUAAUAUCACUUUUUCUCGGAAAAAAAAACCUUACAAAUUUAUAUGCCUUCUCACGAUCUCAUUGAUUCAUUGCUUAUCUGAACAGUUAGCUAGUAGUAGCAACUACUAUUAUUGAUGAAAAGUACACGACAAGAUAAGAUUACCUUCUCUUCCAAAAAAUUAUAUAAGAUACCUUUUUUGAAAAAAAAAUGGAUCCGAUAUUUGUUUACACUCCAAUUUUCUUUUCUGUUAGUCAACACUACAGUCUCAAGACUCAAGAUGAUGCAUGCAUGUCAGUUGACGUGGAUAUAUCAUACUACAUCUGUCCCAAAAUAAGUACACCCAUGGAUAUCUGUGUUCAAUGUUUGGCCGUCCAUCUUAUUUGAAAAUUUUAGAAAAAAAUUUAAAGAAAAAAGAUAGUCACACAUAAAAUACUAUUCAUAUUUUAUCAUCUAAUAGCAAUAAAAAUACUAAUCAUAAUUUUUUUCAAAUAAAACGAACGGUCAAACGUUGAACGUGAAUAAUACAAAACUGCAUUUAUUUUGGGACAGAGGGAGUAUAUGCCAGUAUACAUAAUGAAUGCAAUUGUCUUCAUUCAGACAUUCCCUGCAUGUUUCGCACAAAACAAAUACAUUACUAUCCAUUUCAGAAUACAAUUUGGAUUUUUUUUAUGAAAGAAACAAAAACCAUGCGAACACAUGAACAUGCUUCAACAUUCUUUCUAUCUUGUCUAACCUUCAAAAUUAUGUAUAGAUGAAUGGCAGAAUGAUUUGUAAUAAUUAUUUGAGGGUAUGAAUGAAUUAGUUAAAUAUUAUAGAGCUAAAAAAUGAAUUUAGAAGAAUUUACUAAGAAAAAUCCAUGUCUAGAGAGUUUUUUUUUUUUGCGAUCGUACCAUUUAUGAGCUCAUAAAGCUUGCAUAUUAUAUGAAGUCUCAUCCAUGUGAUAUAUGUCAUGCAUGUGCCGAAAUAAUUCACCAUGACAAAACCUCUUUGGCUUCCUUUGGGUUGAAAAUCCAUGGGGAUACUUAAGGAUACAGAUAUCAGAAUUUUCCCUACUUUGGUAGUUAGGAACAUAAUAUUAAAAUUAAAAAAUAAUGUUUUCUCUAUGCCUCAAUUCCAUAUGGAAAAUAGAGGAGAGUUCAAAUCUAUUUUUUUUUACUUCAGAAGUCCACGGUUCUUCUCUCUCUAGCACCAACCCCCACCCCCAAACCCACAUACCCUCGGAUUCAUCAAAUUCAUAUAUAAGCCACUAAACAAAAUAUUUUUCAAAUUCCUGUAUUUUGAAUCUCUGCAGGAUUUGCUUGUAAUUUUUUAAUAAUAUAAAUGUAUUACAUAUCGGCCACACAUAGCUAAUAAGUUCUCUAACUAAAUAAAAAAACACAAGAUGAUCGGUAAAAUUUCCCAACUACCCUUAGAGCACCACAUGAUCUGCAAGUACAAAACAUUUCAAUUAUGCAUUGUAUUUCUUUAUUUUUAAAAUCCUACUCCAUCCGUUUCAUAUUAUAAACCGUUUUUAAUCUUUGAUCAAGUUUAUAAAAAAAUAUAGCAACAUUUAUAGCACCAAAUUGGUUUUAGUACAUCUAGCACUAAACUUAUUUUUUAUAGUUUCUUUGUUUUAUGCUGAAAGUAUUGCUAUAUUUUUCUAUAAAUUUGUUAAAACUAAAAGUUUGAUUUAAAAAAGUUAAAAUAACUUAUAAUAUGGAACAUGAAUAGAAAUUUGAUCACCAUAUCUCGUUUAAUGUUGAAUUUUCAGGUGGGUUGACGCAGAUGGAAUCGUUCCUGCAGGCGUUCUUCCCGGAGGUCCUGCGGAAGAUGUCCAGCGCGAAGCAGGACGCGUACUGCAUCUUCGACAGCCAGGUGCUCAACGCCUUCGUCUCCUCCUUCUACCUCUCCACCAUGGUCGCCAGCCUUGUCGCCGGCCACCUAACCAAGACGCUGGGGAGGAGGAACUCGCUGCUGAUCGCCGGCGUGCUCUUCUUCGCCGGCACCCUCCUCAACCUGGCCGCCGUGAACAUCAGCAUGCUCAUCAUCGGCCGCAUCCUCCUCGGCGUCGCCGUCGGCUUCAGCAGCUUGGUGAUCGAUCACUGACCAGCCAAUUAAUACGUUCUUGCACACACAUACAUUUAUUUUUUUUUUGUAGGACGUGAAGUGUUCAUGGUGUUUGUGUUUGUUGCUUUCGUCGUCGCAGGC
rnacentral:lncRNA from 1 species